GGCAUGCAAGUCGGACGCGAACGGAGAGCUUGCUCUCUUAUUAGAGUGGCGAACGGGUGAGUAAUGUAUGGAUGACCUACCUCGGACUCUGGGACAACCACUGGAAACGGUGGCUAAUACCGGAUGGUCCCGGCGAUUCAUUUUGCUGGGUAAAGAUACUUGUAUCGGUCUGUGAGGGAUCCAUAUCCCAUCAGCUUGUUGGCGGGGUAAUGGCCCACCAAGGCAACGACGGGUAGCCGGACUGAGAGGUCGACCGGCCACAUCGGGACUGAGACACUGCCCGGACUCCUACGGGAGGCUGCAGUCGAGAAUCUUCCGCAAUGGGCGCAAGCCUGACGGAGCGACGCCGCGUGAAGGAUGACGGCCCUCGGGUUGUAAACUUCUGUCAGUCGAGAAGAACGUCCAAGGUGACCCCUGGGACUGACGUUAUCGACAGAGGAAGCCACGGCUAACUUCGUGCCAGCAGCCGCGGUAAUACGAAGGUGGCAACCGUUGCUCGGAUUUACUGGGCAUAAAGCGCGCGUAGGCGGUUACGCAAGUCAUCGGUGAAAUCCUCCGGCCCAACCGGAGAAUAGCCGCUGAAACUGCGUAACUUGAGUACGGGAGGGGAGAGUGGAACUCUUGGUGUAGCGGUGAAAUGCGUAGAUAUCAAGAGGAACGCCGGUGGCGAAAGCGACUCUCUGGACCGUAACUGACGCUGAGGUGCGAAAGCUAGGGGAGCAAACAGGAUUAGAUACCCUGGUAGUCCUAGCUGUAAACGAUGGGCACUGGGUAGGGGGGCUUCCUAUGUCUUCCCUGCCGAAGCAAAUGUAUUAAGUGCCCCGCCUGGGGAGUAUGGUCGCAAGGCUAAAACUCAAAGGAAUUGACGGGGGCUCACACAAGCGGUGGAGGAUGUGGUUUAAUUCGAAGCAACGCGCAGAACCUUACCCGGGUUUGAAAUGCACGGAUUAGCUCUGUGAAAGCAGAGUGACGCCUUUGGUGGAACGUGCGCAGGUGUUGCAUGGCUGUCGUCAGCUCGUGUCGUGAGAUGUCGGGUUAAGUCCCUUAACGAGCGAAACCCUUGUCUUCAGUUGCCAGCGGGUAAUGCCGGGGACUCUGGAGAGACUGCCGUUGUCAAAACGGAGGAAGGUGGGGACGACGUCAAGUCAUCAUGGCCUUUAUGUCCGGGGCUACACACGUCCUACAAUGGCCGGUCCAAAGGGAAGCGAAGCCGCAAGGUGAAGCAAAUCCCAAAAAGCCGGUCUCAGUUCGGAUUGUGGGCUGCAAUUCGCCCACAUGAAGUCGGAAUCGCUAGUAAUCGCGGAUCAGCUACGCCGCGGUGAAUAUGUUCCUGAGCCUUGUACACAC
rnacentral:rRNA from 1 species